AGUGAACGCUGGCGGUAGGCCUAACACAUGCAAGUCGAACGGCAGCACAGUAAGAGCUUGCUCUUACGGGUGGCGAGUGGCGGACGGGUGAGGAAUACAUCGGAAUCUACUUUUUCGUGGGGGAUAACGUAGGGAAACUUACGCUAAUACCGCAUACGACCUACGGGUGAAAGCAGGGGAUCUUCGGACCUUGCGCGAUUGAAUGAGCCGAUGUCGGAUUAGCUAGUUGGCGGGGUAAAGGCCCACCAAGGCGACGAUCCGUAGCUGGUCUGAGAGGAUGAUCAGCCACACUGGAACUGAGACACGGUCCAGACUCCUACGGGAGGCAGCAGUGGGGAAUAUUGGACAAUGGGCGCAAGCCUGAUCCAGCCAUACCGCGUGGGUGAAGAAGGCCUUCGGGUUGUAAAGCCCUUUUGUUGGGAAAGAAAGGCAGCAGGUUAAUACCCCGCUGUUCUGACGGUACCCAAAGAAUAAGCACCGGCUAACUUCGUA
rnacentral:rRNA from 1 species